GUCCACGCCCUAAACGAUGUCAACUGGUUGUUGGGAGGGUUUCUUCUCAGUAACGAAGCUAACGCGUGAAGUUUACCGCCUGGGGAGUACGGCCGCAAUGUUGAAACUCAAAGGAAUUGACGGGGACCCGCACAAGCGGUGGAUGAUGUGGUUUAAUUCGAUGCAACGCGAAAAACCUUACCUACCCUUGACAUGUCAGAGACCCUGCAGAGAUGCGGGGGUGCUCGAAAGAUAAUCUUAACACAGGUGCUGCAUGGCCGUCGU
rnacentral:rRNA from 1 species